CCUACGGGAGGCAGCAGUGGGGAAUAUUGGACAAUGGGGGGAACCCUGAUCCAGCCAUGCCGCGUGUGUGAAGAAGGCCCUCGGGUUGUAAAGCACUUUCAGUGAGGAAGAACGCCUGGUGGUUAAUACCCAUCAGGAAAGACAUCACUCACAGAAGAAGCACCGGCUAACUCCGUGCCAGCAGCCGCGGUAAUACGGAGGGUGCGAGCGUUAAUCGGAAUUACUGGGCGUAAAGCGCGCGUAGGUGGCUUGAUAAGCCGGUUGUGAAAGCCCCGGGCUCAACCUGGGAACGGCAUCCGGAACUGUCAAGCUAGAGUGCAGGAGAGGAAGGUAGAAUUCCCGGUGUAGCGGUGGAAUGCGUAGAGAUCGGGAGGAAUACCAGUGGCGAAGGCGGCCUUCUGGACUGACACUGACACUGAGGUGCGAAAGCGUGGGUAGCAAACAGGAUUAGAUACCCGGGUAGUC
rnacentral:rRNA from 1 species